AUCGCUUCUCGGCCUUUUGGCUAAGAUCAAGUGUAGAAUCAGUUACAGAUAAAUCCAAAAAAAACCUUGACUAACAGUAUCUGAAGUCCUAAAUCAACUGGAUUAUUUGUUUACCUGUUCUUGGAGGAGCAACCAAAUCUUUUAGAGAUAAAUUAACCUGACAAUACAUUUAAUAACAAAUAUAGUUAACACACU